AGUGAACGCUGGCGGUAGGCCUAACACAUGCAAGUCGAACGGCAGCACAGUAAGAGCUUGCUCUUACGGGUGGCGAGUGGCGGACGGGUGAGGAAUACAUCGGAAUCUACUUUUUCGUGGGGGAUAACGUAGGGAAACUUACGCUAAUACCGCAUACGACCUACGGGUGAAAGCAGGGGAUCUUCGGACCUUGCGCGAUUGAAUGAGCCGAUGUCGGAUUAGCUAGUUGGCGGGGUAAAGGCCCACCAAGGCGACGAUCCGUAGCUGGUCUGAGAGGAUGAUCAGCCACACUGGAACUGAGACACGGUCCAGACUCCUACGAGAGGCAGCAGUGGGGAAUAUUGGACAAUGGGCGCAAGCCUUAUCCAGCCAUACCGCGUGGGUUAAGAAGGCCUUCGGGUUGUAAAGCCCUUUUGUUGGGAAAGAAAAGCAGCAGGUUAAUACCCCGCUGUUCUGACGGUACCCAAAGAGUAAGCACCGGCUAACUUCGUG
rnacentral:rRNA from 1 species